UACAGAGGGUGCAAGCGUUAAUCGGAAUUACUGGGCGUAAAGCGCGCGUAGGUGGUUUGUUAAGUUGGAUGUGAAAUCCCCGGGCUCAACCUGGGAACUGCAUUCAAAACUGACAAGCUAGAGUAUGGUAGAGGGUGGUGGAAUUUCCUGUGUAGCGGUGAAAUGCGUAGAUAUCGGGAGGAACACCAGUGGCGAAGGCGGCCUGCUGGGACGUGGCUGACGCUGAGGCGCGACAGCGUGGGGAGCAAACAGG
rnacentral:rRNA from 1 species